GGUUAAAUAGUUUAUAUAAAACUCUUGAUUUGCAUUCAAGAAAAGAUUUUUUUCUUUAACCA
rnacentral:tRNA from 1 species